UAACGACAAACUCCGUUAGCAGUUUACCAGCUCAAGAAAACUUGGAGUUUCAUUUUGCCGCGCCUGGAAAUGGCGACCAUAUCCAUAAGUUUCUGUCCGUACGCCAUGGCUCGGCCCAGGGUCCCACAAACUCGCAAACCUCCGGUGAAGAAGCAGACAGUACGGAGCCCUAACCCUAACCCUAGCCAUAGGCUGAAGGCUCGAACUGGCGCCAAACAGUUGUCAUCCAUCGGAGUCGAAGCCACUACCUACACUCGCUUGCCUCCCAGAGAGGACUUCUCCCUCCCUUCUUUGGAUUCAUCGUCGUUUGAGUUCUCAUCCGAAGUCAAGCUCUCCGAAUCAAAUGUCGCGCUUAAAGUUGAGAAGGAGAUUGAUAAUUUAAGCAGUGAAGAGGAGGAAGAAGAAGAUGAAGAAAAGGGCUUAGAUGGUAAUUUGGGGGUGAAUUAUGGUCAAUUUGAGGUCUUUCAGGGGACUUAUGAUUCUGAACUGGACGAGGAAGAUGAUGAUAGCGAUAUUGAGGGGUUUAGUGAUGAGAAAUUGGAAAGUGUUUAUCAAAACGACGACGGUGAAUUGCAAGGGUUUAAGGAGGGCGAAACUGUGAAUUUAUCCGAUAAUGAGGGCAAAUUGGAGGAAGGGGAAGUGAAGGAGAAGGGAGUACCAGCAGUAAUGCGGUGUUUCGACCGCGCAAAAAUCUUCGCGAAGGCAGGGGACGGAGGGAACGGCGUCGUCGCAAUGCGGCGUGAAAAGUUCGUGCCUUUGGGCGGUCCUUCAGGCGGUGACGGUGGGCGAGGAGGUAAUGUGUACAUGGAAGUAGAGGGUUCGAUGAAUUCACUUCUGCCAUUUCGAAACAGCGUUCAUUUUCGGGCAGGGAGAGGUGAUCAUGGAAGAGGGCAGUCCCAGAAUGGGGCUAAGGGAGAGGACGUCGUGAUUAAAGUAGCUCCUGGGACUGUUGUUCGAGAGGCUGGGAAGGAGGGGGUGCUUCUGGAGUUAUUGCACCCCGGGCAGCGUGCACUGUUGUUGCCGGGAGGAAGAGGCGGGAGAGGGAACGCUUCGUUUAAGUCGGGGACGAAUAAGGUGCCAAGGAUUGCUGAGAAUGGUGCAGAGGGUCCUGAAAUGUGGUUGGAGCUGGAGCUAAAGUUAGUUGCAGAUAUUGGAAUAGUGGGCGCCCCAAAUGCAGGGAAAAGCACACUUUUGAGUGUGAUAAGUGCUGCUCAGCCAACAAUAGCAAAUUAUCCCUUCACAACUUUACUUCCUAAUCUGGGUGUGGUUUCUUUUGACUAUGAUUCUACAAUGGUAGUAGCAGAUCUGCCAGGUUUACUUGAAGGAGCACACCGGGGUUUUGGUUUGGGACAUGAGUUUCUACGGCACACUGAGAGGUGUUCUGCCCUGAUACAUGUUGUUGAUGGCUCAUCACAACAGCCAGAAUUCGAAUUUGAUGCAGUCCGUCUAGAGUUGGAACUGUUUAGUCCUGAAAUUGCUGAAAAGCCUUAUGUUGUUGCUUUCAAUAAAAUGGACCUUCCAGAUGCAUAUGAAAACUGGCCAUCAUUCAAAAAAAGUUUAGAAGCUCGUGGGAUUGAAGUUUUUUGCAUGAGUGCAGUGAAAAGAGAGGGAACUCAUGAAGUGUCCUCCGCUGCUUACCAGCUUCUACGAGAAAAUAAAGUGGCCGAGGACAAGUUAACAGAAGAUCCGGUCAAUUUAAAUCAUGUAGCUGAGAUGGUGCGGAAGCAGCAAACUGCGUCUAUUAAUGAGUUUGAGAUCACUCAUGACAGCACUACCAAUACUUGGCAUGUUGUGGGAUCUGGUUUGCAACGGUUUGUUCAGAUGACAAAUUGGCGAUAUGUGGAUUCUGGGAGAAGGUUCCAACAUGUUCUGGAGGCUUGUGGUGUGAACAAGUCUCUUAUAAAACUUGGUGUCAAGGAAGGUGACACAGUGAUUGUUGGAGAUAUGGAAAUGAUAUGGCAUGAUGCUGCAGAUACUUCUGGUUUUUCAAAUUUUAGGAAAGGAUCCACAGAAACAACCAAGUGGCCUCAGUGGAAGUGACGACGGUUAUGUGUUAUUUAACUGCUAACAUAUGAAAGAGAAAGGUUUCCUAGCUAGCUAGCUAGCUAAGCCACUCUAUCUCGAUCCUUUGGGGGGGCUAUAAUCUUCCAUUUCCAUACCUUUUCAUCACUUGGGGAAGCCUAUUCAUCGUGUGGGCAGCUUAUUGGUUGGUGCUAUUGCGUGCCAUACUUCCAUAUCCCAUUUGGCUUCCGAUGUGUCUAGCCUAUAAUCUCAUUUUGUUCAUCCAAGUGGGUAAUAGGCUACGGUUGGUACGCAUAUGAAACCAACUCAGGGGGAACUAGUAUCCAAGGUUGGUGGUGGGUCGAAGAUGAAGAAGAAGAAGGGAAGAAGUGGGAGCAAGUUCUCCAAUGUUUAAUGUUUAUUUAGUCAUUUUGUUUUGUUCUUUCUUCUUCGGUUUAAACCCAUGUAUAUAUUUUCUCUUCAAUUAAUGGACGCAAAGCCGUUUGUGAACCUCCAUAAUUUUGAGGCAGAGGUGGCUUCAACCUUGAACGCAGAUCCAUACUAUAAACAACUGCAUAGCUACAACGUUUGAGCUGCUA